AUGCCGGCGGUCAAGAAGGAGUUCCCGGGCCGCGAGGACCUGGCCCUGGCUCUGGCCACGUUCCACCCGACUCUGGCCGCGCUGCCGCUGCCGCUGCCGCCGCUGCCGGGCUACCUGGCGCCACUGCCCGCGGCGGCCGCCCUCCCCCCGGCCGCCUCGCUGCCCGCCUCGGCCGCCGGUUACGAGGCUCUGCUGGCCCCGCCGCUCCGCCCCCCGCGCGCCUACCUCAGCCCGCACGAGGCCGCCCCGCACCUCCACCUGUCCAGGGACCCGCUGGCCCUCGAGCGCUUCUCGGCCACCGCGGCCGCGGCCCCGGAUUUCCAGCCGCUGCUGGACAACGGCGAGCCGUGCAUCGAGGUGGAGUGCGGAGCCAUCCGCGCGCUGCUCUACGUGCGCAAACUCUGCCAGGGCAGCAAGGGCCCGUCCAUCCGCCACCGCGGCGAGUGGCUCACGCCCAACGAGUUCCAGUUCGUCAGCGGCCGCGAGACGGCCAAGGACUGGAAGCGCAGCAUCCGCCACAAAGGGAAAAGUCUGAAGACGCUUAUGUCCAAGGGGAUCCUGCAGGUGCAUCCUCCGAUCUGCGACUGCCCGGGCUGCCGAAUAUCCUCCCCGGUGAACCGGGGGUGGCUGGCAGACAAGAGGACAGUUGCCCUGCCUGCCGCCCGGAACCUGAAGAAGGAGCGAACUCCCAGCUUCUCUGCAAGUGAUGGUGACAGCGACGGGAGUGGCCCCACCUGUGGGCGGCGGCCAGGCUUGAAGCAGGAGGAUGGUCCGCACAUCCGUAUCAUGAAGAGAAGAGUCCACACCCACUGGGACGUGAACAUCUCUUUCCGAGAGGCGUCCUGCAGCCAGGAUGGCAACCUUCCCACCCUCAUAUCCAGCGUCCACCGCAGCCGCCACCUCGUUAUGCCCGAGCAUCAGAGCCGCUGUGAAUUCCAGAGAGGCAGCCUGGAGAUUGGCCUGCGACCCGCCGGUGACCUGUUGGGCAAGAGGCUGGGCCGCUCCCCCCAUAUCAGCAGCGACUGCUUUUCAGAGAAGAGGGCACGAAGCGAAUCCCCUCACACAGAGGCGCUGCUGCUGCCGCCGGAGCUGGGGCCCAGCAUGGCCCCGGAGGACCAUUAUCGCCGGCUUGUGUCAGCACUGAGCGAGGCCAGCACCUUUGAGGAUCCUCAGCGCCUCUACCACCUGGGCCUCCCCAGCCACGAUCUCCUGAGGGUCCGGCAGGAGGUGGCAGCUGCAGCUCUGAGGGGCCCCAGUGGCCUGGAAGCCCACCUGCCCUCCUCCACGGCCGGUCAGCGUCGGAAGCAGGGCCUGGCUCAGCACCGGGAGGGCGCCGCCCCAGCUGCCGCCCCGUCCUUCUCGGAGAGGGAGCUGCCGCAGCCGCCCCCCUUGCUGUCGCCGCAGAAUGCCCCUCACAUCGCCCUGGGCCCCCAUCUCAGGCCCCCCUUCCUGGGGGUGCCCUCGGCUCUGUGCCAGACCCCAGGCUACGGCUUCCUGCCCCCCGCCCAGGCGGAGAUGUUCGCCCGGCAGCAGGAGCUCCUGCGGAAGCAGAACCUGGCCCGGCUGGAGCUGCCCGCCGACCUCCUGCGGCAGAAGGAGCUGGAGGGCGCGCGCCCACAGCUGCUGGCGCCCGAGACCGCCCUGCGCCCCAACGACGGCGCCGAGGAGCUGCAGCGGCGCGGGGCCCUGCUGGUGCUGAACCACGGCGCGGCGCCACUGCUGGCCCUGCCCCCACAGGGGCCCCCGGUCUCCGGACCCCCCACCCCGUCCCGGGACUCUGCCCGGCGAGCCCCCCGGAAAGGGGGUCCCGGCCCUGCCUCAGCGCGGCCCAGCGAGUCCAAGGAGAUGACGGGGGCUAGGCUCUGGGCACAAGAUGGCUCGGAAGACGAGCCCCCCAAAGACUCGGACGGAGAGGACCCCGAGACGGCAGCUGCUGGGUGCAGGGGGCCCACUCCGGGCCAAGCUCCAGCUGGAGGGGCCGGCGCCGAGGGGAAGGGGCUUUUCCCAGGGUCCACACUGCCCCCUCCGCUGCCCCUGGGCUUCCCUUAUGCCGUCAGCCCCUACUUCCUCACAGGCGCGGUAGGGGGACUCUCCGUGGAUGGGGAGGAGGCCCCAACCCCUGAGGACGUCACCAAGUGGACCGUGGAUGAUGUCUGCAGCUUCGUGGGGGGCCUGUUUGGCUGUGGAGAGUACACUCGGGUCUUCAGGGAGCAGGGGAUCAACGGGGAGACCCUGCCACUGCUGACGGAGGAGCACCUGCUGAGCACCAUGGGGCUGAAGCUGGGGCCCGCCCUCAAGAUCCGGGCCCAGAGAGACCGAGGGGCUCACUAAGUUGACCAGGCUGGUCUUGAACUCCUGGCCUCAAGCCAUCCUCCCACCUCAGCCCCCCAAAGUGCUGGGAUUACAUGCAUGAGCCACCACAUCCAGCCUACCUAAAAUAUUGAAUGCUGUUAAUAAAUCUCCUGAGGCCAGCAUAAGAAGGUGAUGGGCAAAACUAAUGCAGGGUUUCAGUUGUGCAAUUUCACCAUUAGCAAAGCUUUUUGCUGAAAUCUGGCUUUUCAAAGGGAGAGUAUCCAGAAACAGAAGAUGCUGAUCUGGGAGGCUCUUCCUAAUAGAACUGCUGCUUCAGUUUAGCUUGAAAAAGCCCACACCCAGUUCCUAAUGACAAACAUCUGAACACCGGGUCUUCCCAUGAGCAAGACCAUGCUAUGCCUCCUGCUCGCUCUGUUCUAUAAGCAACCCACAGAUUGCUCCCUGUGAAGAGGAGCCUGCCAGGGGAGCAGCAUUCCACCAGACCCUGAUUUAGCAAGAUAUUUCCGUAUCAUUCCCCCAACCAGCUGGAAGUCCUCCACUGCUCUUGUGUAAAAAUCUAACUCAUCUCGCUGAAUUUCCUGAUUUAAAAGUCUAAUUCAUUUCACCAAAAGUGUGACAGAAGGAAACCAAGUACACCAUCUCUCUCUUACCAAACCAAAGCUAUUGCAUGUGCAUUCUGGGGGGAAAAAAAUGGUACAAAUAUUUUAUGGAGGGGGUGCCAGCCCAGUAUCAUCCUCUUACUAUUGCCAUAGGAUCUUGGCUGAUGGCAUCAGACGAAAAACAAGUUUAUCGAUUACUUUCAACCAUUAAGCUCACUCCUCCAUGAAAAAUAAGUCACAAGUCCAAUGUCUCUUAUUAAAAUAAGCACUGCAAAAUAUAAAGGAGUCACAGUUUUAAAAUGGGACACACGUUCUCUAAGCGGUGAACCACGUUAGAGGUGCACUGUUUACAUUGUAUAAAGUCCCCUGGAGCCAGGGUUAGGAAGCGCAUCUGUUCUUUGGUGUUCUGGGAUGAAGGAAAAAGGAAAAAGGGCUGCCAGAAGUGAGUGGGAAGGAGCCCAUGAGAUAAAGGAAGUAAAUCCAUUUGCUGAUUGCAAUAAUAAUGGUAAUACACGAAGCUAUACAUACAUACAUGCAAACUUUCACAUUUUUUAAAAAAAGAACUUAAGGCUUCCACACAUGUAAUCAGCCCUUAUGAACUCUCCUGAUUAGCUGCAAGGAAAAUCUUCCUUUCUCCUUUUUCCUGCACCAUCCUGGGCUCCCUUUUGACUUUUUUUUUUUUUUUUUAACUUAUAAACGAUCAGCUCAUAUUCUGAAGUUUGUAGUCCCCUCCCACCCCCUCUCUCUCUAUACGGCUCAUUUACAUUGGCAGCUGUCGUGCUGCUGGGCAUCCUCAAACCCACCAGUUUCCCUUUAAUGUUUGAGCAGACAAACAUGAUCAUGCACUAGGCAUCACUGUGCCACUCAAAAUGCUUUUUUGUUUUUUUUAUUGCAUCUGAGAGAAAUCUCAAGGUUGCAAACCUGGAGUCAGAAUUGUCUCCAUGUGUCUCAGUGGGAAGAGUAUCGUGUGAAGAAACAAGUUGAUUCUACUAACCAAAAGGAAUAUUUUUGAUAUCAGGUCAUCCUCCGAAUGAAUUUAUAUUACCGAGUGGAGGGUCACAUGAAGAAAAUGGUCAAACAGCACCACCUACAGCAAGAGCUGAGAAGUGCAGCGGAGCCGGGCUGUGUCAGGAAAGAAAAGCAAGCUGGGGCCUGGCUCAGCGCUCUCCCCUCUGCUCCUAUCUGCACGGAAAGAUUAGGAUGACAGUGGCAGGAAGCCUGUGCACCUAGUAUGCAUCACUUGAAGGGAACACACAGAUUCCAGUAAACAGUUGGAAGGAAAUGUUAAUACCAGGCUCUGCUAAACAAUAUGAAAUGACUCCUAGAUGAGACAAGCGACUUUCAUCAAAGUUUCCUGAUACCUGAAAAGACAGCCCAGGGGAUCCUGCACUACAUGUGGUGUAUGUAAAUUAAGCGGGUUUUUUUUCCCCUUUGUAAUCAAGGCUCAUACACAAACAAAAUCACACUUUAGAAACGGCCUAUUCCAACUUGUAACUAGCUUGCUUUCAGGGGCUCCAGGUCAAAAAGAAAUAGAGCACAAAGACGCUUUCUCCUUAGGGAUCAUACACAAAUUCACUCCGUCCGUUUCUUUCCCACAUGGAGCAACAAAGCCAUCAGACCUCUCCAUCCACCCAUCAGGUCCUUCCUGAUUAAAGUGAGAUAAAUCACAGCCCUCUCUCUCCAGAUGGCAGGCGACAAGAGGGGGAUGCUUGCCUCAAGAAGUCCUCCCCAUCCCUCUGCAUUCAUGCAAGCCCGAGCGGAGAGAUGCAAGAAAUUACGGAUGCAUUUUAAUUCCCCAGACCCUGCAAUUAAAAAUGGAAAUUUUUUGGCCACGCCUGUUGGCUCACGCCUGUAAUCCCAGCACUUUCAGAGGCCGAGGUCGGCGGAUCACCUGGGGUCAGGAGUUCGAGACCAGCCUGGCCAACAUGGUGAAACCCUGUCUCUACUAAAAAUACAAAAAUUAGCUAGGAAUGGUGGUGGGCGUCUGUAGUCCCAGCUACUCGGGGGAUGAGGCAGGAGAAUCACUUGAACCAGGGAGGCAAAGUUUGCAGUGAGCCAAGAUCGCACCACUGCACUCCACUCUGGGUGACAAAGGAAGACUUCAUCUCAAAAAAGUUUUUAAAAAAUGGAAGUGUUGUUCUUUCAUUUUUAAAUGUGUUUUGGUAAAAGAGGGGCAGUUUAAGCAACCCUUUCUAUUGUCUACAUUGUUAAAAUUCAUCAGACAUGGACUCUUGACUCCGUUUUGCCUGGGCAGACCCAAUUCAAGCAUUUACAACAGCUAUAACCUCCUCAAAUCAAAAAGAGGAAUCAGCAUUAUUGCUAAGUU